UACGUAGGGUGCGAGCGUUAAUCGGAAUUACUGGGCGUAAAGCGUGCGCAGGCGGUUCGUGAUGUCUGGUGUGAAAGCCCCGGGCUUAACCUGGGAAUUGCAUUUGUGACUGCACGGCUAGAAUCUGGCAGAGGGGGGUAGAAUUCCACGUGUAGCAGUGAAAUGCGUAGAGAUGUGGAGGAAUACCGAUGGCGAAGGCAGCCCCCUGGGCUAAGAUUGACGCUCAUGCACGAAAGCGUGGGGAGCAAACAGG
rnacentral:rRNA from 1 species